rnacentral:rRNA from 1 species
CCUGAGAAACGGCUACCACAUCCAAGGAAGGCAGCAGGCACGCAAAUUACCCACUCCCGGCACGGGGAGGUAGUGACAAAAAAUAACGAUGCGGGACUCUUUUGAGGCCCCGUAAUCGGAAUGAGUACACUUUAAAUCCUUUAACGAUAAUCAAUUAGAGGGCAAGUCUGGUGCCAGCAGCCGCGGUAAUUCCAGCUCUAAUAGCGUAUAUUAAAGUUGUUGCGGUUAAAAAGCUCGUAGUUGGUUCUGCGUGCCACGCUGUCGGUUCGCCGCCUGACGGUGUAACUGGCAUGUCGUGGCAUGUCCUGUCGGUGGCGAACUAGGGCCUCACUCGUUUUCCCCACUCGGGCCUCAGCUCGGGUGUGUGGAGCGGUGUGUUCACUCGGUUCGCCGGCUCUAUCCUGCCGCGGUGCUUUUAACCAAGUGUCGAGGUAGGCCGACACGUUUACUUUGAACAAAUUAGAGUGCUCAAAGCAGGCUUAAAUCUCUGCCUGAAUAGUGGUGCAUGGAAUAAUGGAACAGGACCUUGGUUCUAUUCUGUUGGUCUCCGGAACACAAGGUAAUGAUCAAUGUGGACAGGCGGGGGCAUUCGUAUUGCGACGUUAGA